UCGGGGGUUAGUCAUGAGCCACUCAGCGUGACUAUUGCCUGAGUGGGGCUGUUUGCAGGCUGUGAUUCAUCAGACCUGCAAGGGAGCUGGAAGGGAAGGCAGCGUGAGCACGCCUGGAAAUAUGUGUACGGAUGCGCAUUCGCAAAUUGUCAGCGUGUUUGCCAUGCUUUUCAUCUCUCUGCAAACAAUCUGCUCUCCAAAGAAAACUUCGUACCAAAAACAAAAAGAGCUUCGUGCAUCGCUUUUUUUUUUUAUACUUCCCUCUUCAUUUUCUGAGGGGAAAACUUCUUGAGAUCAGUUGUAUCUCUGUCUGUGUACCUCUGGUUAUCUCUCACAUCAGGCAAAGUGGCGAGAGGCCACCAAGUGUGUGUGACAGUGGGUGCCACGAAUGAUGCUUCAGGAUUUGAGCUUUUCUGUUUUUCAUGUGUUUGUAACCCUGCAAUUCUUUAGUGUAUAGCUCUAAACUCCAUAUAGAGUGUGAGCUGCUGCUUUCCCAUUUUGGUUAGACAAAACAAUUCCUCUCCAGGCCUGGGGAUCAAGGACACCUCACUGCCUCAGGCCUCAGAGAUGGAAACAAAACUGAGUUGGGGGCAGCAAACUUGGGGUAAAUGACUUCAUUACCUGAAGCUGUAAUUGGAAGAUUAACCCCCAAUAUGCAAAUGGGACGAACUUUAAAAAGUAUGAAAACCCAUAUCCACUUUUGCUGUACCCCCUGGGGAGGCUUUGUCUGUACCUGAAGGCCUUUCAAUAAAUAGAACUGCUUUUUACUCCCUUAAUUUUGUCUGGCCUCUGUUUUUAGGUAGCCCACAAAGGCAUCACAAGCUCCUGAACUUCAGCCACACGGUGUUUCCCUGGGGGAUCCAUUAUUUUUUCUUGCUGCAGAGUGUCCUGAGGGAUCUCUGCCCUCGGGGUUUGCUCCUGGUGAGCUCCUGGGACAACAUCUAAACUUUGCAAACGUGAAGGAAUUCAAAGGGAGCCCUGGACGUCAUCGCGCUCUCCAAGUGGGCCAUAAAUCAGGGUUUGUUGUGGCCCUUCUCUGCUGAGGCAGAACAUGUGCAGGCAGAUAAGAGCCUGGAGGAAGGAGAGGCACAGAGAAAAGAAACACCGCUCUCCUGGCAAAGACCAAGGUUUUAAGAAGACUUUAAAGAGGGUAAUGAAGUUCCUGAGAGUUCUUUCCACAAAUCUGCCCUGGAACACAGGAGGAACUUGGGAGAAAACGCAGAGGUGCAUGUGAAGUGACAGACUGAAGAAGGAAAGGGCACUGCUGGCCAAACACAGUGCAGGCUGGAAGCCCAGCAUGCAGGAGGGAUGGUGUGUGAAGGGAUGAUGAGAUGCUGAUGGUUUGGCGUGGUUUUGAGGGUGAGGGAAAUUCCCCAUGGACAGGGUGUACCAAGGUGAGGGAAACCACUGCAAUAUUUGAGAUAUGUGAAAGCAAAGGAGCUUUUAUUUAUUAAGGCUAAAGAAAAAAUGUGCUGUCUGAGCACAGAUGUAAGGGAUUGAAAGGCCACAGAGGGGAUUUUUAGCUGUCUGGAUGGGUGGGAGACCACAUAAUUUAGAGAGAUGACAGAGGGAGUUUGUGUAAGCUGGACAAAGCAACCACAGGGACCUUUGAUCUUACUGGUUAAAUCCCAAAUGAUACAAAGGUGUCAGGAAAAACAGGUGAAGAGUGGGAUUUUGUUCAGCAAGGUCUUAUGUAAAGUACUGGGCUGAGAAGAAAACAACUAUGUAGCUCUGCCUGCUCUCUGGAAUUUCUUGAGAAAAAAAACAAUUCUUCAACUCUGGGCUAUGUGGAGCAAAAGAGUCUGCAGGACAUUUGAACUCAUGUGUUUGCUGUAAUAAGGAUGUGAAUGAACUGUGCUUAAGCACUAAUAAGGAUGUGAAUGAACUGUGCUCCAGGAAAGAUCCACAUCUGGAAUGGAGAGCAAGGAGAACAGGGAUUAGAUGGACAUGGCUGUGUAGGAAUUGGGGUGGUUUGGUCUAAAAAAGUGAGGGAUGGGACACAAUAUUGUAAUAUCAAAGGGUGCUGCAAAGAUGA